AAGAAACGGGUCAUCUCGUCUGAC
rnacentral:siRNA from 1 species